GACGUAGGGGGCGAGCGUUGUCCGGAUUUAUUGGGCGUAAAGCGUGCGUAGGCGGCUGCGCAAGUCGGUUGUGAAACCCCGGGGCUCAACCCCGGAACUGCAUCCGAUACUGCGUGGCUAGAGGUAGGUAGGGGAGAUCGGAAUUCCCGGUGUAGUGGUGAAAUGCGUAGAUAUCGGGAGGAAUACCAGUGGCGAAGGCGGCCUUCUGGGCCGUUCCUGACGCUCAGACGCGAAAGCUAGGGGAGCAAACGGG
rnacentral:rRNA from 1 species